rnacentral:rRNA from 1 species
CCUACGGGGGGCAGCAGUGAGGAAUAUUGGACAAUGGGCGCAAGCCUGAUCCAGCCAUGCCGCGUGCAGGAUGAAGCAUCUAUGGUGUGUAAACUGCUUUUGCACAGGAAGAAACACCCGCUCGUGAGCGGGCUUGACGGUACUGUGAGAAUAAGGAUCGGCUAACUCCGUGCCAGCAGCCGCGGUAAUACGGAGGAUCCAAGCGUUAUCCGGAAUCAUUGGGUUUAAAGGGUCCGUAGGCGGUUUAGUAAGUCAGUGGUGAAAGCCCAUCGCUCAACGGUGGAACGGCCAUUGAUACUGCUAGACUUGAAUUAUUUGGAAGUAACUAGAAUAUGUAGUGUAGCGGUGAAAUGCUUAGAUAUUACAUGGAAUACCAAUUGCGAAGGCAGGUUACUACGAAUACAUUGACGCUGAUGGACGAAAGCGUGGGUAGCGAACAGGAUUAGAUACCCGGGUAGUC